rnacentral:piRNA from 1 species
UCAGUGACGACAUCUUGGAUUUGUUCCUA